ACUCCUGCGGGAGGCAGCAGUGGGGAAUAUUGCACAAUGGGCGCAAGCCUGAUGCAGCCAUGCCGCGUGUAUGAAGAAGGCCUUCGGGUUGUAAAGUACUUUCAGCGGGGAGGAAGGCGAUAAGGUUAAUAACCUUGUCGAUUGACGUUACCCGCAGAAGAAGCACCGGCUAACUCCGUGCCAGCAGCCGCGGUAAUACGGAGGGUGCAAGCGUUAAUCGGAAUUACUGGGCGUAAAGCGCACGCAGGCGGUCUGUCAAGUCGGAUGUGAAAUCCCCGGGCUCAACCUGGGAACUGCAUUCGAAACUGGCAGGCUAGAGUCUUGUAGAGGGGGGUAGAAUUCCAGGUGUAGCGGUGAAAUGCGUAGAGAUCUGGAGGAAUACCGGUGGCGAAGGCGGCCCCCUGGACAAAGACUGACGCUCAGGUGCGAAAGCGUGGGGAGCAAACAGGAUUAGAAACCCGGGUAGUCC
rnacentral:rRNA from 1 species